UUACAAGAAUCACGUGUAACCUAUUUGUACGGUUUAAACAAAACCAGGUAAAUCGUUUUUUGUUUUUCUUUGUUUACUGCUUAGAAGUAAAAUGGCUUCUCUAAACAAGAAAUUGAAUAUACUCGGGGCUUUAUAUCAUUAUAUGUCAUAUAUAGAACCAUUUUAACAAGAGCUUGGACUUUGGAUAGUUGUGUCAAACAGCAAUGUGACGUAGGCCUGUCUAUUUCAUUGCUGGCCACUCAGCCAUGGCUUUUUUGAAAUCAGCAAGAUUUGUUCGGCGUUUGAGCUAAGACUACGCAAUCUAUGCAUAUUUCACUUGAAACCAGCUUCAUUUAAACUUAUUUUGAUGCAGUAAAUAGAUACAUGUAGUUGUGUCCAACCGAAAGUCCAGGGUCUUGUUAAAAUGGUUCCAACGUUCAACACAUGAUAAUAAAAGGAAUACGCU
rnacentral:sRNA from 1 species